AUUGAACGCUGGCGGCAUGCCUUACACAUGCAAGUCGAACGGCAGCACGGGAGCAAUCCUGGUGGCGAGUGGCGAACGGGUGAGUAAUAUAUCGGAACGUGCCCAGUCGUGGGGAUAACGUAGCGAAAGCUACGCUAAUACCGCAUACGAUCUAUGGAUGAAAGCGGGGGAUCGCAAGACCUCGCGCGAUUGGAGCGGCCGAUAUCAGAUUAGGUAGUUGGUGAGGUAAAGGCUCACCAAGCCGACGAUCUGUAGCUGGUCUGAGAG
rnacentral:rRNA from 1 species